rnacentral:lncRNA from 1 species
CUCAGUUUAUUUUACUUAGCUGCUGAAACAGCCCUGCCCUUAUUCAGACUCUACUUCUUUUUCAGGCAGGAAGUGCUUUGAAAAAGCUGCCUUGUCUUGGCGCUGAAACUCUCUGAGACACAGUUCAAGUGCACAAGGAAAACUUGUUGAACGCUCCUGCCCUACCGCCUGGCUAGGAUCUUGUGCUUUAUUUACGGCUUUCCUUAUUACAUCAAGUCCAGGACGCAGCUCAUCUACGAUUCCACCUUCUCUAGGCAAGAGCUAAUAUUUUGACUCCUCAGACAUAUCGGCCCUACUUAGUCUCAGCACUGCUUGGCCAUGAAAUUCCAUAUGGAUUUUGGGAUAUUUCUCUGCACUUUUUAAGGCCCCUGAUGAUGACAAGAUUCAAGGCUACCCCAGUGUGGUAUUUCCUGCAUUGCUGUAGUGCCUGUACCAAUGACCUUUGCCAUAACAACUGAAACGUAUCUGAUCCUGGAGACUGAACGUCUUGCAUGUUCCCUGAGAGGAGACAAUUUGGAAAACCUUCAGGUCUGAGCCAAGGCUCAUGGUGAGUAAAAGACAUUAACUUGGAAAAACUAAACAAGCUGAAAGA